rnacentral:rRNA from 1 species
AACGAACGCUGGCGGCAGGCUUAACACAUGCAAGUCGAGCGCCCCGCAAGGGGAGCGGCAGACGGGUGAGUAACGCGUGGGAAUCUACCCAUCUCUACGGAAUAACGCAUGGAAACGUGUGCUAAUACCGUAUACGUCCUUCGGGAGAAAGAUUUAUCGGAGAUGGAUGAGCCCGCGUUGGAUUAGCUAGUUGGUGGGGUAAAGGCCUACCAAGGCGACGAUCCAUAGCUGGUCUGAGAGGAUGAUCAGCCACACUGGGACUGAGACACGGCCCCGACCCCUACGGGAGGCAGCAGUGGCGAAUAUUGGACAAUGGGCGCCAGCCUGAGCCAGCCAUGCCGCGUGAGUGAUGAAGGCCCGAGGGUCGUAAAGCUCUUUCACCGGUGCAGAUCAUGACGGUAACCGGAGAAGAAGCCCCGGCUAACUUCGUGCCAGCCGCCGCCGUACCAC